UACGGAGGGGGCUAGCGUUGUUCGGAAUUACUGGGCGUAAAGCGCACGUAGGCGGCUUUGUAAGUUAGAGGUGAAAGCCCAGGGCUUAACCCCGGAACUGCCUUUAAGACUGCAUCGCUUGAAUCCAGGAGAGGUGAGUGGAAUUCCGAGUGUAGAGGUGAAAUGCGUAGAUAUCGGGAGGAACACCUGUGGCGAAAGCGGCUCACUGGACAGUAACUGACGCUGAUGCGCGAAAGCUAGGGGAGCAAACAGG
rnacentral:rRNA from 1 species